AGGCGGGGCCACGAACGCUCGGACCAGUCGAGUCGGGAGGCGGGGAGGAGGAGCAGGUGGAUGAGGCGAGAGGAGAGGCCAAGUGACGUCCCAGCCUUCAGUUCCCGCUCUUUGGCUGGGGGGCGGGGCCGAAGCCGACGGGGGCGUCAUGACGUCACACCACCUUUAUAUAAGGGGCCUCGCGGCCGCUUUUCCUUCUUUCCACGGCGACGACGUGUGUGCGCGUUAGGCAUGGAGUUCGGGAGAACGGAAGCAUUGCCCUUGGUUCCCUUAAAGUUAUGUGUCAUGGAUGAAGAUGCUGUUACUGCCGCUCCAGAGUAUUACAGUCACAGGCAAACAGGGACUUGUCAACUGGAAAUAAAUGAUGCCACCUGAAUCUGAAUCUAGAAGAUUUUCCAGUUGGAUUAUUUUGUUUGCCUUGUUCAGAUGCUGUGAUUCACUUGAAAAUGGAUGAAAAAUGAAUUGUCAGUAUCAGUAAUGGUCUUGUCCCAAGUCAAAAGUAAAGAUGCUGAAAAGCAUAAAAUGUUUUGAGGGAUUGGACAAAAUGCUGAUUUGGCAAGAAUCUGGAACCCGAUUGCUAUGGAAGUUAUAAAAAGGGAAUACUUGAUGGUUCAUUAUAUCAGAAAAUGAGACUGGACUGCUGGCUUAAGCUCAAGUUAGGAACUUUGAGAGGACCUGAGCAGAACAAAACGGCAGUAUGCUGUGUUGAAUUGUACUCAACAUAACUUUAAUAAAGUGGUAAAAUAAAUUA